rnacentral:misc_RNA from 1 species
GAUGAAGAACGUAGCGAAAUGCGAUAAGUAAUGUGAAUUGCAGAAUUCAGCGAAUCAUCGAAUCUUUGAACGCAUCUUGCGCUCCUUGGUAUUCCGAGGAGCAUGCCUGUUUGAGUGUCAUUAAAGUUCUCAACCACAUUACUACAUAUGUGGCUUGGAUGUGGGGGUUUGCAGGCUUUCUCUGAGGGUCUGCUCCUCUGAAAUGCAUUAGUGGUAUUCCUGAGCUUUACUACAGAUGUGAUAAUUUAUCUACAUCCCAAAAGUAUGCUUCAGCAACACCGCUCCUAACAAGCGAAAGCACAUUUUGAUGAAUUUGACCUCAAAUCAGGUAGGACUACCCGCUGAACUUAAGCAUAUCAAUAAGCGGAGGA